CAUCGGCAUCUAUACAUGCAAGUCAGAACGAACGGAGGAAGAGCUUGCUCUUCCAAAGUUAGUGGCGGACGGGUGAGUAACACGUGGGCAACCUGCCUGUAAGUUGGGGAUAACUCCGGGAAACCGGGGCUAAUACCGAAUGAUAAAAUGUGGCGCAUGCCACGCUUUUGAAAGAUGGUUUCGGCUAUCGCUUACAGAUGGGCCCGCGGUGCAUUAGCUAGUUGGUAGGGUAAUGGCCUACCAAGGCAACGAUGCAUAGCCGACCUGAGAGGGUGAUCGGCCACACUGGGACUGAGACACGGCCCAGACUCCUACGGGAGGCAGCAGUAGGGAAUCUUCCGCAAUGGACAAAAGUCUGACGGAGCAACGCCGCGUGUAUGAAGAAGGUUUUCGGAUCGUAAAGUACUGUUGUUAGAGAAGAACAAGGAUAAGAGUAACUGCUUGUCCCUUGACGGUAUCUAACCAGAAAGCCACGGCUAACUACGUGCCAGCAGCCGCGGUAAUACCUAGGUGGCAAGCGUUGUCCGGAUUUAUUGGGCGUAAAGCGCCCCCCAGGCGGUCUUUUAACUCUGAUGUGAAAGCCCCCGGCUUAACC
rnacentral:rRNA from 1 species